rnacentral:rRNA from 1 species
GAUGAACGCUGGCGGCGUGCCUAAUACAUGCAAGUCGAACGAAACUUCUUUAUCACCGAGUGCUUGCACUCACCGAUAAAGAGUUGAGUGGCGAACGGGUGAGUAACACGUGGGCAACCUGCCCAAAAGAGGGGGAUAACACUUGGAAACAGGCGCUAAUACCGCAUAACCAUAGUUACCGCAUGGUAACUAUGUAAAAGGUGGCUAUACUACCGCUUUUGGAUGGGCCCGCGGCGCAUUAGCAAGUUGGUAGGGUAAAGGCUUACCAAGGCAAUGAUGCGUAGCCGAAUUGAGAGGUUGAUCGGCCACAUUGGGACUGAGACACGGCCCAAACUCCUACGGGAGGCAGCAGUAGGGAAUCUUCCACAAUGGGCGAAAGCCUGAUGGAGCAACGCCGCGUGGGUGAAGAAGGUCUUCGGAUCGUAAAACCCUGUUGUUAGAGAAGAAAGUGCGUGAGAGUAACUGUUCACGUUUCGACGGUAUCUAACCAGAAAGCCACGGCUAACUACGUG